rnacentral:rRNA from 1 species
GUGUCAGCAGCCGCGGUAAUACGGAGGGUGCAAGCGUUAAUAGGAAUUACUGGGCGUAAAGCGCACGCAGGCGGUUGGAUAAGUUAGAUGUGAAAGCCCCGGGCUCAACCUGGGAAUUGCAUUUAAAACUGUCCAGCUAGAGUCUUGUAGAGGGGGGUAGAAUUCCAGGUGUAGCGGUGAAAUGCGUAAAGAUCUGAAGGAAUACCGGUGGCGAAGGCGGCCCCCUGGACAGAUACUGACACUCAGAUGCGAAAGCGUGGGGAGCAAACAGGAUUAGAAACCCCCGUAGUCC